UCUGUCAAAUUUUUUACCGUCAGGAUCCUUUUGAGUAACAGUAAAUAUAUCUUCGAAAAGUGUUUCAACCAUCUUCAACAACCUGCAUUGGAUAAGUUGAGAACUCAAAAUAUUAAUGAUAAAUGUACACUCACAACUCAAUUUAGAGUCUAAAAACUCCCCUAUCAAGGGUCAUGUCCUCGGAAACUUGCAUUCUAGUCAUGUCCUGCCUAAUCACCUCUCCUUUACUUAAUAAAAAUCGAAAAAUGGAUUAGGGUUCCGUCUUGUAUGUAUGAAACAGAGACAAAAAGGGCGGGAGAACUUAACAGGUGUUACAGUGAUGGCGAUUAAGCGAGGUUUUAGCGAUUUCUUCCUUUUUCUUCUUUUUUCUAUUUUUGUUAAAUGACACGCUUACAAAUUUGAAGAAAAUAUAUUUUACAGUUGAUUUUAUAAUCAAGUUACUAAGUUUUAAUGAGAUGUAUAAAAACCUCCUUGUUUGUGUCGAAUUUGCUUUUGCACCCUUAAAUUACGUUGGGGGACCUAUUAUCACCUAAAUUAUUUCGAACUGGAAUAUACCCUCUUGGAUAAUGGAUGACAAGCAAAUAAAAAUAUUUAAAUUUUACUUUUUCAACAUCUCUUUCAUUAAAUAUUUUUUUUUCUUUUUCUCUUUAUUUUAUUCUUUUCUUAGUCUAUCUCUUU
rnacentral:lncRNA from 1 species